rnacentral:lncRNA from 1 species
UUUUGGUUUGGUUUUUGCAUUUAUGUUUUUCAAGGAAAACAGGAUGGAUGGUGGCUCUUGGCUGUUCCUCAGACUCUUUUAAUGCCACGAAAUACACCCCAAGUUUAACCUACUCUCUCUCCUAGGAUGUGAUAUACUCUACUUGCUGCUCAAAAGGGUUGUCCUCUAUUUUAUCAAAACUUUAGAUUUUAAAGAGGUGGUUUUUCAUCUUCAAAAAGGGUUUUGAUUUUGGAGAUAUUUUAAAACUGAGAACUGAAGUUUUUCAGUUUGUUUUUUUACCACUUGUCUAUUUGCUGGGAAAAAUAAAUGCUAUUUGUAAUAUAGGAGUUAGCCACAAGAGACCUAAGAAAAAUUAUGUUCACAUUAUCUUUAGAAAUACGUGUUCUCGGGGCGCCUGGGUGGCGCAGUCGGUUAAGCGUCCGACUUCAGCCAGGUCACGAUCUCGUGGUCGGUCCGGGAGUUCGAGCCCCGUGUCAGGCUCUGGGCUGAUGGCUCAGAGCCUGGAGCCUGUUUCCGAUUCUGUGUCUCCCUCUCUCUCUGCCCCUCCCCCGUUCAUGCUCUGUCUCUUUCUGUCCCAAAAAUAAAUAAACGUUGAAAAAAAAAUUGAAAAAAAAGAAAUACGUGUUCGCAUUAUCUUUAAAAAGUUGUUAAAUGUCUCAGAAAUGUCAAGAAGAUGUAACAUUGUUUAGAAAAUGUAAACCACAUUUCCUUGCAGGAUGAAGUUGUGCUUAAUAGCUCUGUUUAAUUCAUUCAGAGACUACACGAUUUUUGUUGCUAUAUUUUGUUAGAAAGGAAGGAGAGGCUGUUUCUACAGGUGUCAUAGAAAAAUCAAUAUUGAGCCACGGAUUAUUGGAUCCCAUAGAACCAUGGAGACUUGGCAGUGAAAUUCUUCCAAAGGUGAGUAGGGGCAUUGAUUUUCCUUCUCAUGCCUGAAGAAAUAUGACACAGGAACGGAGGCUAAAUUUAGACUGGAAACAAGUCUGAUUUGAAACUAUGUGCCUUUAAAAAACUUUGUGACAGUUUUUUUUUUUUUAAUUAAAUGAGGAAAUUGAAUGUGAGCAUAUAAAAUUUUUCUCGUAUAUUUUUCUUAGAUUUACUUUUUUUCUUUAUUCCUUUGCGUGCUUUUGAAAAAAAAACAAACGAACGAAUAUUUGACCAACAUUUUGUCUAUAAUUAAGAUCCAGUGAUUUCCUGUACAACAUAAAACAGUCUCGCUCUUAAACCUAUAACCAAGACUGCAAUAGUCCUUCACCUUCUAAGAAAAAGCAUAUUAUUUAUACAAUCACACUUAAAAAUAUGUGCCAUGAUUUUUAGACACGUACUUGCUUACUUGUUUAUUUGUUUUACAGUUUCUCCUAGAUUUUGAAAAGCUGAAAAGCUCAACAUAACGCAUUGGUUGUUUUCCUGCAUUGCUUAGCAUUCCAUCCUUGCAGGCAGACGGUGUUCCUAGGUUUGGAAGGAUAAAUCCCAGGGGAAGUGAGCUGAAGAACAUUUCAUGCAUCACUCAUCCUAUUAUGAGCCCUG